GACAGAGGGUGCAAACGUUGUUCGGAUUUACUGGGCGUAAAGCGCGUGUAGGCGGCUUUGCAAGUCGGAUGUGAAAUCCCACGGCUCAACCGUGGAAGUGCAUCCGAAACUGCAUCGCUGGAGUCUCGGAGAGGAAGGUGGAAUGCUUGGUGUAGAGGUGAAAUUCGUAGAUAUCAGGAGGAACACCGGUGGCGAAGGCGGGUCUCUGGGCAACAACUGACGCUGAGGAGCGAAAGCGUGGGGAGCGAACAGG
rnacentral:rRNA from 1 species